GACGUAGGGCGCGAGCGUUGUCCGGAUUUAUUGGGCGUAAAGAGCUCGUAGGCGGUUUGUCGCGUCGACUGUGAAAACCCGAGGCUUAACCUCGGGCCUGCAGUCGAUACGGGCAGACUAGAGUUCGGUAGGGGAGACUGGAAUUCCUGGUGUAGCGGUGAAAUGCGCAGAUAUCAGGAGGAACACCGGUGGCGAAGGUGGGUCUCUGGGCCGAUACUGACGCUGAGGAGCGAAAGCGUGGGGAGCGAACAGG
rnacentral:rRNA from 1 species